GACGAACGCUGGCGGCGUGCUUAACACAUGCAAGUCGAACGGAAAGGCCCUGCUUUUGUGGGGUGCUCGAGUGGCGAACGGGUGAGUAACACGUGAGUAACCUGCCCUUGACUUUGGGAUAACUUCUGGAAACUGGGGCUAAUACCGGAUAGGAGCUCCUGCUGCAUGGUGGGGGUUGGAAAGUUUCGGCGGUUGUGGAUGGACUCGCGGCUUAUCAGCUUGUUGGUGGGGUAGUGGCUUACCAAGGCUUUGACGGGUAGCCCGCCUUGGAGGGUGACCGGCCACAUUGGGACUGAGAUACGGAGCAGUCGCGUACGGGAGGCAGCAGUCGAGAAUAUUGCAGAAUGGGGGGAAGCGAGAUACAGCAACGCCGCGGGCGGAAUGACCGGCUUCGAGUUGUAAACCGCUUUCGCCUGUGACGAAGCGUGAGUGACGGUAAUGGGUAAAGAAGCACCGGCUAACUACGUG
rnacentral:rRNA from 1 species